AGUGGGGAAUUUUUGACAAUGGGGGAAACCUGGAUCCACCCAUGCGGCGUGAGUGAAAAAGGCCUUCGGGUUGUAAAGCUUUUCAGCCGGGAAGAAAUAAAAACUGUUAAUACCCGGGAAGAUGACGGUACCCCCAGAAGAAGCACCGGCUAAAUAUGUGCCAGCAGCCGCGGUAAUACGUAGGGUGCGAGCGUUUUUUGGAAUUAUUGGGCGUAAAGAGUGCGCAGGCGGUUUUUUAAGUCAGAUGUGAAAUCCCCGGGCUCAACCCGGGAAAUGCAUUUGAGACUGUUUGGCUAGAGUGUGGGAGAGGGGGGUGGAAUUCCCCGUGUAGCGGUGAAAUGCGUAGAUAUAUGGAGGAACACCCGUGGCGAAGGCGGCCCCCUGGGCCGAUACUGACGCUCAGGCGCGAAAGCGUGGGGAGCAAACACGAUUAGAUACCCCGGUAGUCCACGCCCUAAAAGAUGUGCAACUAGAUGUUGGGGUAUUACCCCUUCAGUACCGAAGCUAACGC
rnacentral:rRNA from 1 species